rnacentral:rRNA from 1 species
UCAGGAUGAACGCUAGCGGCAGGCUUAACACAUGGCAAGUCGAGGGGCAGCGCGGAGUAGCAAUACUCUGGCGGCGACCGGCGGAAGGGUGCGUAACACGUGAGCAACUUGCCCGUGACAGGGGGAUAAGCGAUGGAAACGUCGUCUAACAUCCCGUAACACGAGGGGAGGCAUCUCCCUUCGUUGAAAACUCCGGUGGUCACGGAUGGGCUCGCGGGACAUUAGCUAGUUGGCGGGGCAACGGCCCACCAAGGCGACGAUGUCUAGGGGUUCUGAGAGGAAGAUCCCCACACUGGAACUGAGACACGGUCCAGACUCCUACGGGAGGCAGCAGUGAGGAAUAUUGGACAAUGGAGGCAACUCUGAUCCAGCCAUGCCGCGUGAAGGACGAAGGCCCUAUGGGUCGUAAACUUCUUUUGUCAGGGAGCAAUAAGGGUCACGCGUGGCCCGACGAGAGUACCUGGCGAAUAAGCAUCGGCUAACUCCGUGCC